ACACUCCUGCGGGAGGCAGCAGUGGGGAAUAUUGCACAAUGGGCGCAAGCCUGAUGCAGCCAUGCCGCGUGUAUGAAGAAGGCCUUCGGGUUGUAAAGUACUUUCAGCGGGGAGGAAGGCGAUAAGGUUAAUAACCUUGUUGAUUGACGUUACCCGCAGAAGAAGCACCGGCUAACUCCGUGCCAGCAGCCGCGGUAAUACGGAGGGUGCAAGCGUUAAUCGGAAUUACUGGGCGUAAAGCGCACGCAGGCGGUCUGUCAAGUCGGAUGUGAAAUCCCCGGGCUCAACCUGGGAACUGCAUUCGAAACUGGCAGGCUAGAGUCUUGUAGAGGGGGGUAGAAUUCCAGGUGUAGCGGUGAAAUGCGUAGAGAUCUGGAGGAAUACCGGUGGCGAAGGCGGCCCCCUGGACAAAGACUGACGCUCAGGUGCGAAAGCGUGGGGAGCAAACAGGAUUAGAUACCCUAGUAGUCCCAUG
rnacentral:rRNA from 1 species